UCUUUGCUCGUUCACACUUCUCGCGUGUGAUCACUCAGCCGCGCCACGGGUGCACAGGUGCGCCGAACCAAAUCAAGGAAGGGAGAGCUGGGUUGUCUGCUGCCCUCCCGUCGUUGUGCCUUUUCGGGUUUCCUUCCUCACCCUCCCUUUCGCUGCAACGUGUCUUUCGACCAACGGAGGCGUGUAGAGGCUGCAUUCUUCGUUUCACGAUAGAUGCUGCAGCGCUUUUCUCUAUGACCCGCAUCUUUACUAUCUUGCGAUCUUUCUCUCUAGCUGCAUCAUAACGAUGAGGGUGUUGCGCGGUAAGGUGGGCAAGGUGGUGUUCGCAGUGGUUGGCAUCCCUACCAUCAGCGUGGCGGGUCUUUUCGGGUAUGUGCAAUACCGGCAACGCACGCGUCCUCCGCCUCGAGUGCUAAAGCCCCUCGUGGACGCGAACGGCAACCUUAUCUUGGAGGGCCGGGUGGUGUCGCGCCCGUCGCGCAUCGCCGUCUGCUGGCGCUUGGUGGAUUUGGCUCUCAUUUUCAUUCCUGUGGCGGCUCUGUACUUCAUCAUGUCGCUGCGUAAGGAGUGGUAUGAUCGGUGGCUGGAGAUGUUGCUGGCGGCGGUGCAGCGCGCCGGCCCCGUCUUCGUGAAGAUCGGCCAGUGGAGCUGUACACGCGAGGACCUGUUUGCCCCUGAAUUCCGCAACAUCUUCAAACGCUUGUACAAUGAGGUCGACGUGCAUUCGUACGAGGACACGCUGCGCAUCUUGGGUGAGGAGCUGAAGUGCGACCCGCUCACGGUCUUCGAGUCCGUGCAGCGUGAGACGGUCGGCUCCGGCUCCAUUGGCCAGGUGCAUCUCGCGAAGCUCAAGAACUCCAACCGCAAAGUUGUCGUUAAGGUUAUGCAUCCGGACAUCAUUGAAACAAUUGUGCUUGAUUUUACCAUUCUCGAUAAUGUGGCCAAGAAGGUGGACGCGUGGUUCCCCCAUCUCGCCCGUUACCGCCUCCCGUCGCUCUCCCUGGCCUUCACGACGCAUUUGGCGGCGCAGCUGGACUUCCGCAUGGAGGCCCAAAACCUUGAGCGGUUCCGCGAGAACUUCAAGUCGGAGCGCUACGUAGAGUUCCCUGAGCCGCUCAUGUCGACGCAGCGGAUGCUGGUGGAGACCUUCUGCAAAGGCGAGCCCGCAAACCCGGAGUUUCUCGCGUCCCUGCCGCCGCACGCUCGCGAUGUGUUGGCGAACAAGGGUCUCAACACGUGGUGCAAGAUGCUCCUGCGCGAUAACUUUAUCCACGGCGAUAUGCACCCAGGCAACAUCCUCAUCGACUGCACGAGCGACCCGCACGAGCCCACGGUCACCAUGAUCGACGUUGGACUGUGCCAGCAGCUUACCGAGCACGAGGGCGCUGUCACACACGAUUUGAUGGAGUCGUUUGUGCGCUGGAACUCCAACCAGUGCGCGGACAGUCUUCUCGCCAUGUCCGACAGCCAGCCGUACGCUGACGCGGACCUCUUCCGCAGCGACUUGGCUGAUCUCUUCAAGCACUUCCGCCCUACGCGCAACGACGAGAACGCUGUCACAAACAUUUUGCAGUCCGUCUUCGAGAGAAUUCGUCAGAACAAUGUACAGAUGGACCCCGCCUAUGUGUCGCUUCUCUUCGCCGUCCUCGUGCUGGAGUCCUUCAUCAUGAACCUGAACCCGGACUUUAACAUGGUGCGCCACACCGCGCCUUGGCUGGUGAGCGAGGGCCACUUGUCGAAGGGUGUCGUGAAGAACCUGAUCAAGACGAAGAUAGACAAUCUGAAGCGUACCUACGGUAUCGUCAGCGGCCGCAUGGAAGACGACCUGCGGCAGGAGUUGCAGGACAAGACCACGAACUGGUGGAUAAGCGGCAGUGCUUGGUAAGAGAAGGGCGAGGAAUGUCGAGAGACAAAACGAACGGUGCCUCCCCACACGUCUUCAGUCGCACUGAGUGCUGUUGUGGCGGGCAGCAACACUUCCUUGCGGCCAUCCCCGUCACGUUGCCAGCUUGCCCCUUCGUUUGGCAUGGAAGGAGUGACGGAAGGGGAUGCUUCUGACUGCCUGCCGAACGGACCGAGCGAGCGAGGCUGCCGUCCUCUCUUCUUUUUUUUUUGCCGCGUCUUCAACCGUGAAGUUUUGGCAUGGGAAGGGAGGUCGGCGUCAUGGCGCCGCUCACUUCCUCCUUUCUUACAGAGUUUUUCUUUAAAAGGCGCGUUUCACAGCGCGUCUGUCUGUCUAUCUGUCUGUGCAUGCGCGCAUGUGUGUCUGUCUGUCUGUGUGCAUGUGUGCAUGCGUUUGGUUGCCGAUCCGGCACUUUUGAGGACGCCCUCCCCCCCCCCUCCGGGCAGCGGAGUCUUGUGAUGCAAGCGUGUAGGAGAAAGGUGAUCGAAGAGCUACGCCGAUUCGAGUUAACACCUGUAUGUAUAUACACACAUACAUCCAUACGCCCUUCUCAAGCGUUUCACAGUUGCACACCCGCCAAACACAGGCAGAGAGCGAGCGCGAGGGAGAGAGGGUGAGAGAGAGGAGGGAGGGACCAUGCACCCCGUUUCUCGUUCCCUUCUUCCCGCGUGCACUGUUGUCGUCUUCUCGCCCCUCGCCCUGCGCUGAAGCGGGCGCUAAGUCACUUCACUUGUGUACUCCACG
rnacentral:misc_RNA from 1 species